GAAUAUUCGAAGAAUUUCCAUAACGCAUCUGUCGUAUGGGUGUGAAUCUGCGUCCCAAAAGCGCUCGUCAGACGAUGUAAACACGCGUAGUUGGUAUUCCCGAUGAUGGCGAUCUUUUGAUGAUUUAUCAGAGUAAUUUGAAAAGUGUCACACUGAUUUGAAAAAAAAAGGCUGGAAGAAAAUCUGGUACCUGCUUUGUCUUGAGAUUUACAUAAAUGAUGUUCUUAUUGGUGAUCAUUUACCCGCACCCUUAUCCUGGUGUCAUAUACAAGAUAAAAUGAUGGAAAGAAAAACCUGAACUUUAGAAAGAAGACUGUGUUUUUGAAGAGAGAAGAGGACCAGAACUAAGAAGUCAAACAAUAAACACAUUGACAUCAUAAAAAGAAAUUGCAAUUUUGAGUUUGCAUGCAUAUGUCAGGUUUAAAUGUUGUCACAGAAUUUUUUUUCAGAAAGUCCCUUUAUCUUCUUGAAUUAAUAAAACAA